UCAAGAAACCUCUCCCAUCAAAAAUUAAAAAAAAUAAAAAUCAUUUCAAUGGACAUAUAAAAUCAGCCAUAUUUCUUCCCCAGAAAAUUAUUAUGUGAGUUCACUCAAAAGGUACGCUUUUUAAUUCUCAUUUCUCUUUCAAUUUUGAAUAAGACUUGUGCACUUUCGCUGAUAUUAAUCACAAUUUGAAUAGGACUUGCCCUUUUAUUUCUUUUAAUUUAUUUUAUAACUGGUUGACUACAACUACAAUGAUUGUUUUAAGUAUUUUAGUUGACUACAAAGUGUGAUAAUGGCGAGACUAUAUGAGGCCACUAAAGGUAUUUCGGGAUUCGUUUGGCGUGAGGUAUAAGGCCAGGAGAAGAUGAAUUCUGAAAUUCGACUUACCGUCCUAUUAGUAACGAGAAGGAAUGAUGGAAGAAUUUGGAAUAGAAGGGACUAGGGGGAGGGGGUAAGUGAGUGGAAGAAAAUGCAGACUCAUGAAGGAAUCAUUACUUUGUUGUCUGAUACUUUUAGUAUGAUAUUUUCACUAUUAAUAGUUACAAAUCUUACUGGGGAUAUAUAUAAAAUUUUGAUUGUUGAACCUGAUUGAUCUCCUUCGGCUGUUUGGUCGUUUCUUAGGCUACACAUUUCCGAUUUCCUCAGAAUUUUAGCAAUGGUAUGUGUUGUACUGUUAUCCUCUUUUAUUAUUGGUGCAAUGUUUUCCCUGAUAUGCUUACAAAUCCAUUCUUCCUUUUAAUGAAAUGACCCUCUAAGCUCUAUAAUUUUUUUAAAGUAUUUGUCUCCAGUAUGUUUUUGUUCAUUAUGCAAUUGUCAAUUAUGCUUCUAUUACUUAGCUACGUUGUACUGGAAACCAUAUUUGAUGGCUAAGUAAAAAUAGUUUAACGACUAAUCAUGUGACCUCCCCUCUGCACCCUAGACAAAGUAUUGUUGAGGAUUCAUAUUAAUUGGCUAGUUUUACAUUGGCUAUUGCAUCCCUCCACUUUUACCCGAGCUCCCCCAGGCACCCCGUAAACAAUGUAAAAUUAUAACAUUUGGAACUCUUUCACCAACACGAAUCUUAUCAUAGAAAAAGUGGAUAUUUCAGGCCAUAGCCCACAUUAUGUCAAUGUUUAUAGAUAUUGUUUCCUAUUUCUUCAAGUACAUGAGUCAUGUGCUUAUGUGAAAUGGUAUCUUAUUUCGCCAACUAUACAUCAUGUUGUUCUUGAGACAGGAUGCAAUAAUUCUUGCUAAUUUAAUUGUAAUGGGCUCUUCUAUAUUGGCAAGGGCUUUUGUUCAAACAUAUUGCCAGGCAUUGUCCAGUAAGUAUCUUCUGAAUUAAUGUUCCUUUAUGUCGAAAAAAAUGUAUCUGAGUCGUUCUGCUCUGCAUCAUAAGCAUUUUGGGGGCUGUUGGGAUGUUUGGUUUGUUUUCUCAUGCUUCCAUGCACAUCUUACGCACUGUGUACUUACUCUAUCCUAAUGGCAAAUGCCUCAGAAAAAUGGUGUUGCUCAAGAAGCAGUGCAGAAUAUAAAAAGAGUUAGCAAAACCAUGACGGAAGCAGUGGCAAGACAGAUUCUUGGUGUCACAGAGGAUUCAUCAUGGGAAGAAAUUGUGCAGAAGUAUGAGAACUUGUUUGAGCGAAAUGCUAAAAAUGGGAGUUUUUACCUUCAAUCAAAGGUACAUAGAGCUAAAGAGUGUCUGAAAGAAGUUUACAAACCUAAAGAACCAGAAACAAAAAAAGGAAAAUUAGACACAUCACAAACAACACGACACUCUCGCACCAUUUGGUAGUAUGAAUGUGUACGAAGGGAUCAAUUUCUUGAGUAGCUUACAAGAAAAAAAGUUGAAAAAACUCGAUAAGUCAAAUUCAUUAUUCAAGCUUCUUGUAUGAUGAUGUUUAAGUCACAGCAAAAAUGCUAUUUAUCUAGCAUUAUUUUGAUGUUAAAAUAUCAUGAUGCAUAAAAUCGUUGUAAUCUAAAAAGCAAGGCAAAUGCCUCUUAUAUUGUUGGAAAUUAUAUGUAUUGUCACGAA